CUUCUCUCCCACUGACAGCGACCUCACUCCGGUGCUCCUUCAAUUCCGAUCUUUGCUCCAAGGCUUCAGGGCUGCUGCACAGUUUUGCAGGCUGCUAACUGCACAAGGACAUCUGGCUAAGGUGGCUGUUUGUGCCCUGAGCUCGGUGACACCCGCAGCCUCAGCCGCCUGGGCCUCUGCAGCUCGUGCCCCUGGCUGCCAGGCGACUCCAGAGAAGGUGCCAGAAGGAGGGAGGGGCAGC